rnacentral:rRNA from 1 species
UCCUACGGGAGGCAGCAGUGGGGAAUAUUGGACAAUGGGGGGCAACCCUGAUCCAGCCAUGCCGCGUGAGUGAUGACGGCCUUAGGGUUGUAAAGCUCUUUUCUCCGGGACGAUAAUGACGGUACCGGAGGAAUAAGCCCCGGCUAACUUCGUGCCAGCAGCCGCGGUA